rnacentral:rRNA from 1 species
CUGCUGCCUUCCGUAGGAGUCUGGGCCGUGUCUCAGUCCCAGCGUGGGGGGCCUUCCUCUCAGAACCCCUACGCAUCGUCGCCACGGUGGGCCGUCACCCCGCCGUCUAGCUAAUGCGCCGCAUGCCCAUCCGCCACCGGAUCGCUCCUUUGGCCACCGGAGGAUGCCCUCCGGUGGCGUCACGGGGUAUUAGGCCGCGUUUCCGCGGGUUAUCCCCCUGUGGCGGCCAGGUUGCAUACGUGUUACUCACCCGUGCGCCGGUCGCCGGG